rnacentral:rRNA from 1 species
GAUGAACGCUGGCGGCGUGCCUAAUACAUGCAAGUCGAGCGAACAGACGAGGAGCUUGCUCCUCUGACGUUAGCGGCGGACGGGUGAGUAACACGUGGAUAACCUACCUAUAAGACUGGGAUAACUUCGGGAAACCGGAGCUAAUACCGGAUAAUAUAUUGAACCGCAUGGUUCAAUAGUGAAAGACGGUUUUGCUGUCACUUAUAGAUGGAUCCGCGCCGCAUUAGCUAGUUGGUAAGGUAACGGCUUACCAAGGCGACGAUGCGUAGCCGACCUGAGAGGGUGGUCGGCCAAACUGGAACUGAGACGCGGUCCAGACUCCUCCGGGAGGCAACAGUAGGGAAUCUUCCGCAAUGGGCGAAAGCCUGACGGAGCAACGCCGCGUGAGUGAUGAAGGUCUUCGGAUCGUAAAACUCUGUUAUUAGGGAAGAACAAAUGUGUAAGUAACUAUGCACGUCUUGACGGUACCUAAUCAGAAAGCCACGGCUAACUACGUG